rnacentral:piRNA from 1 species
UGAAGUCAGGUUUUUACUCCCAAGACUA